rnacentral:rRNA from 1 species
GAUGAACGCUGGCGGCGUGCCUAAUACAUGCAAGUCGAGCGAACAGACGAGGAGCUUGCUCCUCUGACGUUAGCGGCGGACGGGUGAGUAACACGUGGAUAACCUACCUAUAAGACUGGGAUAACUUCGGGAAACCGGAGCUAAUACCGGAUAAUAUAUUGAACCGCAAGGUUCAAUAGUGAAAGACGGUUUUGCUGUCACUUAUAGAUGGAUCCGCGCCGCAUUAGCUAGUUGGUAAGGUAACGGCUUACCAAGGCAACGAUGCGUAGCCGACCUGAGAGGGUGAUCGGACACACUGGAACUGAGACGCGGUCCAGACUCCUACGGGAGGCAGCAGUAGGGAAUCUUCCGCAAUGGGCGAAAGCCUGACAGAGCAACGCCGCGUGAGUGAUGAAGGUCUUCGGAUCGUAAAACUCUGUUAUUAGGGAAGAACAAAUGUGUAAGUAACUAUGCACGUCUUGACGGUACCUAAUCAGAAAGCCACGGCUAACUACGUG